AGACUCUGUGCGCGUGCAUAUCAAUAAGCGGAGGAAAAGAAACUAACAAGGAUUCCCUUAGUAACGGCGAGUGAAGCGGGAAGAGCUCAAAUUUGAAAUCUUCAAGGUUCUACCUUGACGAAUUGUAGUUUAUAGAAGUGUUUUCUGUUAGUAGGAGUGGCAAAAGUUCUUUGGAAUAGGACAUCAUAGAGGGUGAGAAUCCCGUAUUUGGUCAUUCCUCCUAGCGUUGUGAUACGCUUUCAAAGAGUCGGAUUGUUUGGGAAUGCAGUCCAAGAUGGGUGGUAAAUUUCAUCUAAAGCUAAAUAUUGGCGAGAGACCGAUAGCGAACAAGUACCGUGAGGGAAAGAUGAAAAGAACUUUGAAAAGAGAGUUAAACAGUACGUGAAAUUGUCAAAAGGGAAGCGUUUGACACCAGUGUUGUUUUUCCGAAAAUCAAUUACGAAUGUUUUAUUUUUGAGAAGUUAUGACUUCAUCGGCUUGCUUCUCUCUUUAUCGAAACUUUCUUAAUGCACUUUUCGGUUAACAAGUCAACAUCAAUUUCUUUUGUUGUAAAAGGGUAUGAGGAAGGUGGCUUUCUUUUCGGAGAAAGUGUUUAUAGCCUUGUACCUCUGCAAUCGGAGAGAUUGAGGUCUGCAGCGUAGAUCCUUCGGGGUUAGAUACAUUUGUGCUAAGUUAUAGCUUUUCAUAGACAACUUGUUGACUAUGUUAAGUCUUGUAGCUUACUCGCUUAUGCUAUUUUACCUACGCUUAGGAUGUUGACAGCAGUAUAGACUGU
rnacentral:rRNA from 1 species